GACGAACGCUGGCGGCGUGCCUAAUACAUGCAAGUCGAGCGAAGUUUUUCUGGUGCUUGCACUAGAAAAACUUAGCGGCGAACGGGUGAGUAACACGUAAAGAACCUGCCUCAUAGACUGGGACAACUAUUGGAAACGAUAGCUAAUACCGGAUAACAGCAUUAACUGCAUGGUUGAUGUUUAAAAGUUGGUUUUGCUAACACUAUGAGAUGGCUUUGCGGUGCAUUAGCUAGUUGGUGGGGUAAAGGCCUACCAAGGCGACGAUGCAUAGCCGACCUGAGAGGGUGAUCGGCCACACUGGGACUGAGACACGGCCCAGACUCCUGCGGGAGGCAGCAGUAGGGAAUCUUCCGCAAUGGGCGAAAGCCUGACGGAGCAACGCCGCGUGAGUGAAGAAGGAUUUCGGUUCGUAAAGCUCUGUUGUUAGGGAAGAAUGAUUGUGUAGUAACUAUACACAGUAGAGACGGUACCUAACCAGAAAGCCACGGCUAACUACGUG
rnacentral:rRNA from 1 species